rnacentral:rRNA from 1 species
GACGAACGCUGGCGGCGUGCUUAACACAUGCAAGUCGAACGGAAAGGCCCUGCUUUUGUGGGGUGCUCGAGUGGCGAACGGGUGAGUAACACGUGAGUAACCUGCCCUUGACUUUGGGAUAACUUCAGGAAACUGGGGCUAAUACCGGAUAGGAGCUCCUGCUGCAUGGUGGGGGUUGGAAAGUUUCGGCGGUUGGGGAUGGACUCGCGGCUUAUCAGCUUGUUGGUGGGGUAGUGGCUUACCAAGGCUUUGACGGGUAGCCGGCCUGAGAGGGUGACCGGCCACAUUGGGCCUGCGAGACGGCCCAGACUCCUACGGUAGGCAGCGGUGGGAAGUAUUGCACAAUGGGCGGAAGCCUGAUGCGACAACGCCGCGUGCGGAAUGACGGCCUUCGGGUUAUGAACCGCUUUCGCCUGUGACGAAGCGUUAGUGACGGUAAUGGGUAAAGAAGCACCGGCUAACUACGUG